rnacentral:misc_RNA from 1 species
GUCGUAAAAGCGACAUCUAUACGUCUUUUAUCAAAUGAUUGUUAUAGGACAUUUCGACUAUCGCAGGGACGACAGAUAUAUUGACCGUAUUGAGUUUAAUACCUAAGGACACCAAUCAGUAUCUUCCACAAUAACAAUGGAUACUCUGGCGAUGAUCGAAUACUUAACAAUUGGUAUAACACUUCUAAUGUUCGGAAGUGGACUGUAAGAUUAUACAAUUUAUUUAUAUAAGCUGUUUAAAUUUUAAAGAAGUUUUUUAUCUUACAUAAAACAAAUAGAUACUUUUAUAGAAAGAAGUCGAACUAAGCAGUUAUUAAUAAAUCUUAUUAUUUAUUGUUUUUUUUUCAUCUUUUCAUAUUUCCUAAGACCAGUGUGUUAUAAUAUGAUAAAAUCAAAAAGUACUAAAAAUGUUCCCUAUCCAUUCUUUCUUCUUGGCCUUGUUGGGUGCGAAGGCAUGUGGCAUUAUGGAACAAUAAUUAACAAUGGAACACUUAUUCUGUUAAAUUCUUUUGGAACAAUUUUACAAAUUGUUUAUAUAUUGGCCUAUAUAUCUGUCUGUAAAUCUAAGACACAACCUUUACUAUAUCUUUCAAUUAUUCUCUCUUACCUAUUGGGAAUAUAUGGAUAUAUCUAUACGGUCUACGACAACGACAAUCAGAGAGGUGCAGUACUUGGAGCAUCUUCAAGUAUUGUAACAACAAUAAUGAUGGUGUUACCCGUUUUUGAGAUCGUUGAUAACUUUAAAAAUAAAAAUGCAAAUGGUAUGCCUCCAGUUAUGCUUAUUUUUGGAAAUAUUUGCGCAAUAUCAUGGCUUUGGUAUGGGAUUUUGUUAGGAGAUAUUAAUAUAUACGGUCCAAAUAUUCCUGGUAUCCUCUUGAAUACAAUAAAGUUAUACGCUAUUUUUUUAUACGGAGGCAAGAAAGAAAAGGACUUGUAAAGUGAAUAAUAGCUGACAAUUAACAUAGAGAAACGACUGAUAUCUAUAAAAUUUGAUUAUAUAUGACUAGGUUAUAAUAUUUUAUUCAAGCUGUUUAAUGGUAUAAUCUGCUAAAAGAAAAUAUAGAUCAUAUCCCAACCUUUCAAAAUCAUAAUCUAAUAAAAUGAUAAAAGAAAUCUGCUUGAAUGAUUCUCUUUCUCUCUCUCUCUCUCUCUCUCUCUCUCU